GAUGAACGCUGGCGGCGUGCCUAAUACAUGCAAGUCGAGCGAACAGACGAGGAGCUUGCUCCUCUGACGUUAGCGGCGGACGGGUGAGUAACACGUGGAUAACCUACCUAUAAGACUGGGAUAACUUCGGGAAACCGGAUCUAAUACCGGAUAAUAUAUUGAACCGCAUGGUUCAAUAGUGAAAGACGGUUUUGCUGUCACUUAUAGAUGGAUCCGCGCUGCAUUAGCUAGUUGGUAAGGUAACGGCUUACCAAGGCAACGAUGCGUAGCCGACCUGAGAGGGUGAUCGGCCACACUGGAACUGAGACACGGUCCAGACUCCUACGGGAGGCAGCAGUAGGGAAUCUUCGGCAAUGGGCGAAAGCCUGACGGAGCAACGCCGCGUGAGUGAUGAAGGUCUUCGGAUCGUAAAACUCUGUUAUUAGGGAAGAACAAUUGUGUAAGUAACUAUGCACGUCUUGACGGUACCUAAUCAGAAAGCCACGGCUAACUACGUG
rnacentral:rRNA from 1 species